rnacentral:rRNA from 1 species
GACGAACGCUGGCGGCGUGCUUAACACAUGCAAGUCGAACGGAAAGGCCCUGCUUUUGUGGGGUGCUCGAGUUGCGAACGGGUGAGUAACACGUGAGUAACCUGUCCUUGACCUUGGGAUAACUUCAGGAAACUGGGUCUCAUCCCGCAUAGGAGCUAUUGCUGCAUGGUGGGGGUUGGUAAGUUUCGGCGGUUGGGGAUGGACUCGCGGCUUAUCAGCUUGUUGCUUGGGUAGUGUCUUACCAAGGCUUUGCCGGGUAGCCGGCCUGAGCGGGUGACAGGCCACAUUAGGACUGAGAUACGACCCAGACUCGUACGGUAGGCAGCGGUGGAGAAUAUUGCACAAUAGGCGGAAGCAUGAUGCAGCAACGCCGCGUGCGGGAUGACGUCCUUCGGGUUGUAAUCCGCUGUCGCCUGUGACGAAGCGAGAGUGACGGUAAUGGGUAAAGAAGCACCGGCUAACUACGUG